UACGGGGGGGGUAAGCGUUGUUCGGAAUUACUGGGCGUAAAGGGCUCGUAGGCGGCCAACUAAGUCAGACGUGAAAUCCCUCAGCUUAACUGGGGAACUGCGUCUGAUACUGGAUGGCUUGGAUCCGGGAGAGGGAUGCGGAAUUCCUGGUGUAGCGGUGAAAUGCGCAGAUAUCAGGAAGAACACCGGUGGCGAAGGCGGCUCUCUGGGCCUUACCUGACGCUGAGGAGCGAAAGCGUGGGUAGCGAACAGG
rnacentral:rRNA from 1 species